CGAAUGGUGGUGACAGUGGGCAGCGAGACCGCGAGGUCGAGCUAAUCUCCAAAAGGCCAUCUCCAGUUCGGAUUGCACUCUGCGAACUCGAGUGCACUGAAGUUGGAAUCGCUAGUAAUCGCAGAUCAGCAUGCUGCGGUGAAUACGUUCCCGGGCCUU
rnacentral:rRNA from 1 species